rnacentral:lncRNA from 1 species
GAGAUUUAUUCACGAUGAGGGUGUGAAUCCAAUUAGAGCAAAACGAACAGUGUACAUGACACAUUUCUUUCUCGCCUCUGCAGAAGCUAAUCUAGCUAAUCCCUUUGUGUUGUUACAGGGAAAUAAUUGAUAUCUUGCAGCUCGGGAGCGAGCGUGUGAGGACGCAGGCAGCGCAUACCAGCCGUCUGGACCUCCAGCCCAUUCAGGGCUGUAUUUGUUACUGUGAGCAAGCAACUGCCUCUCAUGUGUCCGCACUUCUACACGCACGCACUGACUUCAGGCCACAUCUUGUUGACUUCUUCCUAAAUAAGCCUUCUGCUUUGCUUGCCACCGUGAGGCGAGUUUCCUAAAUAAGAAGAUGUUCUGGGAAGGAGAUCUUCCUGUGCGCUGCUGAGGAGACACAGUCACUUGUCUCGGAAAGCCGGCUGUUCUCGCAGGCUGUGCUGACAUCCUGUGGCUCGAUUUCUCAGCCUGAAAUGCAAAGACACUGAGAACUGGAUCAUCUGCCUUUGUUUAUUCAUACUGGAACAGAGAAGUGGUCAUAGGACUUGAAAACCGUCCUCAACUGAGACCCCAAACACACUGAAAUUAUGGGCAAGCUUGGAAUCAAAAGGUCGUGGUCAGGAAGAGCCCCAGCAAGCGUGAGACAAGGAGACCCUGUGAGACAAGGACACCUGCCCACACACCUUGCCAGCUGGAGGCACAUGCAGUCAGUUGCUGUGGGGUGCUGCUGCCAGAAUCACCACYGCUUUUGCAGAGGAAGAGGAG